GGAAAUUCCAGAGCUGAAAUCAUCCAAAUGAUUCUAAUGAAGCUGUAUGGAGUUUAAAAACACAAUGGAGCACUUCCUGUAUUACCACAUGACAUCACAAGGUGGAACAGGUUUGAGAGAAGAACUCAGCGUAAAUAUGCAGGGUUUGUGUUUUAAACAUGUGUGAAUGAAACAA